rnacentral:rRNA from 1 species
AAUAGAUACCCGGGUAGUCCACGCCGUAAACGUUGGCGCUAGAUGUGGGGGCCAUUCCACGGUUUCCGCGUCGUAGCUAACGCAUUAAGCGCCCCGCCUGGGGAGUACGGCCGCAAGGCUAAAACUCAAAGGAAUUGACGGGGGCCCGCACAAGCGGCGGAGCAUGCGGAUUAAUUCGAUGCAACGCGAAGAACCUUACCAAGGCUUGACGUAUACGAGAACACUGCAGAAAUGUAGGACUCUUUGGACACUCGUAUACAGGUGGUGCAUGGUUGUCGUCAGCUCGUGUCGUGAGAUGUUGGGUUAAGUCCCGCAACGAGCGCAACCCUCGUCGCAUGUUGCCAGCACGUAAAGGUGGGAACUCAUGUGAGACUGCCGGGGUCAACUCGGAGGAAGGUGGGGAUGACGUCAAAUCAUCAUGCCCCUUAUGUCUUGGGCUUCACGCAUGCUACAAUGGCCGGUACAAAGGGCUGCAAUACCGUAAGGUGAAGCGAAUCCCAAAAAGCCGGUCUCAGUUCGGAUUGAGGU